UCUGACAAUUGACCGUGAGUGGUUGUUGCUGGAUGGACAACAAGCGAUUUAGCAUCUGCCGCGUUUGCAAGGUCAGAAAAGAUUUCUAAAUUAUCAAUGACCUUGCGUGCUUCUUCCUCGCCACCUUUGACGUGGAAGGUAAAGAUUGAACCGACACCUUUUGGCAAGUAUUUCUCAGCCAAGGCAUGAUAAGGACUAUCUGCAAGUUUUGGAUAAUUUACCUUUUCUACCUUAGGAUGGUUGACAAGAAAAUCAACAAUUGUCUCAGCAUUUUGUACAUGGCGUUCCACACGAAGUGAAGAGGUUUCAAGUCUUUGUAGCAAGAGGAAAGCAUUGAAUGGUGACAAGGCUGCACCUGUAUCACGAAGCAAUUGAACUCGAACAGCUAUAAUAAAGGCUGCUGCACCCACAUCACGAGUAUAGCUCAAAUUGUGGCAGCUUGGACCCUCGUCAACAAAUUGAGGGAAUUUCCCUGAAGCCGUCCAGUCAAAACGACCACUAUCGACAAUUAUUCCUCCAAUAGUUGUACCAUGCCCACCGAUAAACUUAGUCACAGAGUGAAUGGCAAUGUCAACGCCAUGAGAGAAGACGUUAAUCAAAUAAGGUGUUGCAAAAGUAUUGUCUGACACAAGUGGGAUUUGAUGUUUAUGAGCAAUCUCUGCCAGUUUUUCCAGGUCUGGAAUAUUAAUCAAGGGGUUACCCAAGGUUUCAAUCAAGACAAGCUUGGUAUUGUCUUUGAUAGCUGCUUCUACUUCCUCCAAAUUAUCAAUAUCGAAAAAGGUUGUUGUGAUACCAUAACGAGGAAGGGGUUCUUUCAAAAGAUUGAAGGUUCCACCGUAAAUAGUCGAAGCAGCCACUACAUGGUCACCAGCAUGGGCAAUCGCCAAAAUAGUAUAAGUCACUGCAGUCAUACCUGAUGCUGUUGCUAGCGCUUCAACACCACCUUCAAGGGCAGCUGUUGUAGGAUUGGUGAUACGAGUAUAAAUGUUCCCUGGUUUCCUCAAGGCAAACAGAUCGGCACCUUCCUACGUGUCAUCAAAAACAAAAAAUGUUGUUUGAUAAAUCGGCACUGCACGAGACUUAGUAGCUGGAGCCACAACUUGACCAGCAUGUAGUUGUAGAGUUUCAAAUUUAAAAUCACAAGUCAUAAGGUGACCUCCAUAUUAUUUUAUUAAGGAUAUUGUAGCACCUUGAGUUAUAGUUUACAAAUAUCAGUUUUCUAUAUUUUGAUAUAAGAAAUAGCUAUUACCUUAUUUUGAAAAUGAAAAAAGCACGACUCAAUCGUGCUCAUUUUCUUAAUCUACAUAAGUAUCUUCGUUUUUAUUGAGGAAGGCAUAUGGAAGACCCAUCAAGAGGCCUCCUCCGAUAAAGUUUCCGAUGAAAGUCACACCCCAGUGGCGAAGCAUAUUUCCAACACCGAAGUUGGCAAUUGAAUCCGCAGCAACACUGAAUUUCACAAUCGCGAAAGAAGCAAAGUUCGCCGCAAUGUGCUCGUUUGUUAAGAAUACAAACAUGUAAAUAGCUGACAACACAAGCCAAAGUUUGGCACCACCAUCUUUGACCAAAAUAAAUGACAGAAUCGCAAUAUUUACAAAAAUAUUUGCCAAAAUCGCCUCAAGCAAGACCAAUUCAUUUGAGCGGCCUAACUUCAUCUCAACAACACCUGAGAUGAAACUAUCGUGUGUCAGAUUCGCAUAGGCUGCCGAAUGAGCAAAGCCCCACCCUGCUAUCAAGGCUCCGAUAAGGUUGAACAAGGUACAGUAUAGUAAAAUCUCAGCUGUUUUUCUCCAAGAGAUUUUUUUUAAGAAACUACCAGCAGUCAAGAACAUCAUGUUUGAAGUGACCAACUCGGCAUUCAAAAAAACAAUGUAGGCCAAGCCCCAAGCAAAAACGAAUGGAAAGAGGAAGCGUCCACUACCUGGUGCAAUUUUAUUAAUCAAGUCAGCCCCAACUGCACCUGCAGCAGUACUGAAGGUUAAAAAUGCACCUGCGAACAUCGAACGAAUCGCAUACUUAAAUUUGCUUUGACUAUAAAGACUUUCUUUCUUAUUGCAAGCAAAUUCAAUCUUUGAGAUAAAUUCCGAAGAAACCAUAAUAAACUCCUAAAUCUUUUUUCUUGAUAAUUAUAUCACAAACUUUAGGUUUUAGGAAGCGUUUUCUGUAUUUCAUAAAAGUUUAUAGUAGAUUGAAACUAGAAUAGUACACCUCUACUUCUAAAACAUUGUUAGAAAUCGAUUUGACUGUCCUGAUCGAUUUGUCCUAUUCUUAUUUCAUUUUACUAUAUUUUUAUGAAAAUCUUAAAAAAUCAGUGAAAUCAUGGAUUUCACUGAUUUGUAUUAAUAAAAUUGUUUAUAUGGUUGAUUGAAAGCUGUUAGGAUUUCAUUAGAUGUUUGUGAAUAAUCUUUUGUUUCUUUCAAAUCACCUUUGACAAUAAUACGUUCUGUAGCAGCAAGGUCUUCACAGGUUACUAAUGUGAUUUCAUUGACCCCAUCUCUAUCAUCAACUUCAUCAACACGAUCCGGUGUCACACGUUUGACUUCACGUAUUUCAUAAGUAUAAACUUUAUUUUUAUCGGUUAGAUAAAUCUUCAUGCCAUUUUUAGCAUUAUCNUUAUAGAAGAAUGAUUUGGGAAGAUCAGCCAAAGAGAGUAAUAGCCUCGUAUUUAAAAUAGUCUUUGUACCUAGCAGUAUCCUGAGUACGGCGGGACACGUGAAAUCCCGUCGGAAUCUGGGAGGACCAUCUCCCAACCCUAAAUACUCCCUAGUGACCGAUAGUGAACCAGUACCGUGAGGGAAAGGUGAAAAGCACCCCGGGAGGGGAGUGAAAUAGAACCUGAAACCGUGUGCCUACAACAAGUUCGAGCCCGUUAAUGGGUGAGAGCGUGCCUUUUGUAGAAUGAACCGGCGAGUUACGUUAUGAUGCGAGGUUAAGUUGAAGAGACGGAGCCGUAGGGAAACCGAGUCUGAAUAGGGCGCCUUAGUAUCAUGACGUAGACCCGAAACCAUGUGACCUACCCAUGAGCAGGUUGAAGGUGCGGUAAGACGCACUGGAGGACCGAACCAGGGCACGUUGAAAAGUGCUUGGAUGACUUGUGGGUAGCGGAGAAAUUCCAAACGAACUUGGAGAUAGCUGGUUCUCUCCGAAAUAGCUUUAGGGCUAGCGUCGACAUUAGAGAUUCUUGGAGGUAGAGCACUGUUUGGGUGAGGGGUCCAUCCCGGAUUACCAAUCUCAGAUAAACUCCGAAUGCCAAUGAAUUAUGGUCGGCAGUCAGACUGCGAGUGCUAAGAUCCGUAGUCGAAAGGGAAACAGCCCAGACCACCAGCUAAGGUCCCAAAAUAAUUGUUAAGUGGAAAAGGAUGUGGGGUUGCACAGACAACUAGGAUGUUAGCUUAGAAGCAGCUAUUCAUUCAAAGAGUGCGUAAUAGCUCACUAGUCGAGUGACCCUGCGCCGAAAAUGUACCGGGGCUAAAACAAUUUACCGAAGCUGUGGAUACCUUUAUAGGUAUGGUAGGAGAGCGUUCUAUGUGUGAUGAAGGUAUACCGUGAGGAGUGCUGGAACGCAUAGAAGUGAGAAUGCCGGUAUGAGUAGCGAAAGACAGGUGAGAAUCCUGUCCACCGUAAGACUAAGGUUUCCAGGGGAAGGCUCGUCCGCCCUGGGUUAGUCGGGACCUAAGGAGAGACCGAAAGGUGUAUCCGAUGGACAACAGGUUGAUAUUCCUGUACUAGAGUAUGUAGUGAUGGAGGGACGCAGUAGGCUAACUAAAGCAGACGAUUGGAAGAGUCUGUCUAAGCAGUGAGGUGUGAAUUGAGUCAAAUGCUUAAUUCUAUAACAUUGAGCUGUGAUGGGGAGCGAAGUUUAGUAGCGAAGUUAGUGACGUCACACUGCCAAGAAAAGCUUCUAGCGUUUAAACAUACUCUACCCGUACCGCAAACCGACACAGGUAGUCGAGGCGAGUAGCCUCAGGUGAGCGAGAGAACUCUCGUUAAGGAACUCGGCAAAAUGACCCCGUAACUUCGGGAGAAGGGGUGCUGACUUUAAGUCAGCCGCAGUGAAUAGGCCCAAGCAACUGUUUAUCAAAAACACAGCUCUCUGCUAAAUCGUAAGAUGAUGUAUAGGGGGUGACGCCUGCCCGGUGCUGGAAGGUUAAGAGGAGUGCUUAGCGUAAGCGAAGGUAUGAAUUGAAGCCCCAGUAAACGGCGGCCGUAACUAUAACGGUCCUAAGGUAGCGAAAUUCCUUGUCGGGUAAGUUCCGACCCGCACGAAAGGCGUAAUGAUUUGGGCACUGUCUCAACGAGAGACUCGGUGAAAUUUUAGUACCUGUGAAGAUGCAGGUUACCCGCGACAGGACGGAAAGACCCCAUGGAGCUUUACUGCAGUUUGAUAUUGAGUGUCUGUACCACAUGUACAGGAUAGGUAGGAGUCUAAGAGAUCGGGACGCCAGUUUCGAAGGAGACGCUGUUGGGAUACUACCCUUGUGUUAUGGCCACUCUAACCCAGAUAGGUGAUCCCUAUCGGAGACAGUGUCUGACGGGCAGUUUGACUGGGGCGGUCGCCUCCUAAAAGGUAACGGAGGCGCCCAAAGGUUCCCUCAGAAUGGUUGGAAAUCAUUCGCAGAGUGUAAAGGUAUAAGGGAGCUUGACUGCGAGAGCUACAACUCGAGCAGGGACGAAAGUCGGGCUUAGUGAUCCGGUGGUUCCGUAUGGAAGGGCCAUCGCUCAACGGAUAAAAGCUACCCUGGGGAUAACAGGCUUAUCUCCCCCAAGAGUUCACAUCGACGGGGAGGUUUGGCACCUCGAUGUCGGCUCGUCGCAUCCUGGGGCUGUAGUCGGUCCCAAGGGUUGGGCUGUUCGCCCAUUAAAGCGGCACGCGAGCUGGGUUCAGAACGUCGUGAGACAGUUCGGUCCCUAUCCGUCGCGGGCGUAGGAAAUUUGAGAGGAUCUGCUCCUAGUACGAGAGGACCAGAGUGGACUUACCGCUGGUGUACCAGUUGUCUUGCCAAAGGCAUCGCUGGGUAGCUAUGUAGGGAAGGGAUAAACGCUGAAAGCAUCUAAGUGUGAAACCCACCUCAAGAUGAGAUUUCCCAUGAUUAUAUAUCAGUAAGAGCCCUGAGAGAUGAUCAGGUAGAUAGGUUAGAAGUGGAAGUGUGGCGACACAUGUAGCGGACUAAUACUAAUAGCUCGAGGACUUAUCCAA
rnacentral:rRNA from 1 species